rnacentral:rRNA from 1 species
UUACUGAGUUAUCAAAAACUCCAACCCUUUGUGAACCUACNUNUGUUUCCUCCGGCGUACCGCUGUAGCCUACCCACAGGGCUCCCCCUUAGGGGGGUUCUGCUGGGGAGGUGCCUGAGUGCUGCCUAUCCUUCGGGGUACGGUUAGUGCAGUGAAGGUGCCGACCAAGGCCUCGGCGGCGCCGAGUAGGACCGCUCCAAACUUAAGCACCUAGUGCAUCCAACCCCGCGUUGAACAACUAUCGAAAAUUUGCUUUUGCUUUUUUUCUUUACGCUUAAACGUCUUCCCCGGUUGGAAUUAUUGCUCGAGAUACCCUAAAAGACUGAUCGUAGGCACUGUAGGAUGCGUGAAAUGUGUGAAAUGUCCCUCUCGUAGUGUUUCCCGGUUGGAAUUUUUGCUCGAAAUAAUAAUCUCUUUACCCUGUAGUCGUUUGUUUUCAAGUUUCAAUAUUUGCUCGAAAAUUGUUCAAAGCUCUGAGGGGUCUGAAUGAAUUCAUAAAAUUGGCAAAAGCCACCUAUAAACUACGGUUUUUAGGGGGUGAUCAAACCAAGGUUUUAAAAACCAAAUACGUUAAAACUUUCAACAACGGAUCUCUUGGUUCUGGCAUCGAUGAAGAACGCAGCGAAAUGCGAUAAGUAAUGUGAAUUGCAGAAUUCAGUGAAUCAUCGAAUCUUUGAACGCACAUUGCGCCCAUUAGUAUUCUAGUGGGCAUGCCUAUUCGAGCGUCAUUACAACCCUUAAGCCUUGUUGCUUAGCGUUGGGAAUCUACCCCUCACUGAGGGGUAGUUCCUUAAAUGUAGUGGCGGGGUUAUAGCACACUCUAAGCGUAGUAGUUUAACUCGCUUUCAGGGAGGCUGUAACUGCUUGCCGUAAAACCCCCUAUAACUUAUAGUGGUUGACCUCGGAUUAGGUAGGAAUACCCGCUGAACUUAAGCAUAUCAAUAAGCGGAGGAAAAGAAACCAACAGGGAUUGCCCUAGUAACGGCGAGUGAAGCGGCAAAAGCUCAAAUUUGAAAUCUGGCCCUAGCGGUCCGAGUUGUAAUUUGCAGAGGAUGCUUUUGGUGCGGUGCCUUCCGAGUUCCCUGGAACGGGACGCCAUAGAGGGUGAGAGCCCCGUACGGUUGGACACCUAGCCUCUAUAUAGCUCCUUCGACGAGUCGAGUAGUUUGGGAAUGCUGCUCUAAAUGGGAGGUAAAUUUCUUCUAAAGCUAAAUACCGGCCAGAGACCGAUAGCGCACAAGUAGAGUGAUCGAAAGAUGAAAAGCACUUUGAAAAGAGGGUUAAAUAGCACGUGAAAUUGUUGAAAGGGAAGCGUUUGCGACCAGACCUUCUCCAGGGGGAUCAACCGUUAUUUUUAGCGGUGCACUCCCCCUGGUUUAGGCCAGCAUCGGUUCUCUUAGGGGGAUAAAGGCCUGGGGAACGUAGCUCUUUAGGGAGUGUUAUAGCCCCUAGCGUAAUACCCUUCA